GCCUCUCUUGUGCUCUUACCCCACCUUCAUUCUUCCUUGUAUGCUUUCUGUCUAAGACUUGUAAGCUCAAGGUGUUGAGGGAGGAGAAGGCUGGCUGAACUUUCAUUUCCUGCAAGGGUUUCCUGUAUGAUGUAACAAUGAGAGUGGGAGCAGCAAACAGCUCCUCAAGCAUUAACUGUGUCAGGAUGUUUGAGAUUGUGUGAAGCAAACGGUACUCAGAGGCUCGAAGAAAAGUUUUUCUCCAGUGAGAGCAGGGACCUUGCCUGGAACAGGAGCUGCCAUUGUAAUGAAGUAUUAGAUUUGCCUUUGUACUAAUUCUUUGCCUGGAUUCUCUCAACAACUCCUUCGCUUGAAAGCCUGCUUGUAUUUGGAAGGAUCAGCAAGCUAAGAGAAGCAGGUGAGUAAACAAUACUUUGGAUCUUAAUUGAUGCCUUUAAUGUUUCUUCUCUCCCCAUCAUGCCCCUAGACAGACAUGAAGAUGCUGGAUUCAGGAAGGAAGCUGGUAGCUUAGAGGCUGUGACCUGAAUAGUCAGCAGAGCGACACAGAGCUCAAGUAAUCUGCAGUGAAGAAGAGUUACAAGCAGACACCAGGGUAAUUUAAUCCAUGAUUCAAUUCUAUUAGUCCCAAUAGAUUUACACCACUUGGCUUAAAUAUAACUUAUGAAUGGCAGAUAACUUAGGUUAAAUGAAAAGGGAAGAAAAGAAUGGAACAUUUCACAGUGAAUCUGGUGAACAAUUUCCUCUUUCAAAGGCUCAACACUUCCUUCCAUUGAUAUUUUUCUUACAAUAGAGCAUCUGCACAGAUACAGAGAAAUUUUUCUCUCCCCCAGAAGAUUUUACAACUGUUUUGUGAGUGAAGCCCCAUAGGUUACAGAACAGAUGUCCUUACACAUUUCUUGUAUCACUUGUUUUCUGUGUAGCUACAACAGUGCCAAAAAUACGAUGCCAACAGGAUGCACUGCGCUGCUAGCUGUUUGUCUUGGCUGCCAUUUCCAUUAUUAGUAUGUGUGUGUAUCAGGAUGGGGAUGGAUGUUUCCAGUCAUUUUUUAGCUUUCCUCAAGUCAAUUGGCAAUUAGUAAAUAGCACUGAAACUUGUAAAUAUUCUUCCUGUUUCUCGCUCUGGGGAUUAAGUGUCUUAUAAUGACAAUCUAGUAACAUUAGAUCAUUCUCUAGCAAGAGCAGCAUACAGGCACUCUACUAGCCCACAAGCAUUUAAGAUCACAUCCUCACGAUAAAAUUUUCACGUUUGUUUUAACACAGUGGUUUGUGCUUUUCCUCUUAAAUCGAUAUUACAUUUCAGCUUAUUCCAUGAAACUGAAAUUUGUGAAAGUUUGUUGUUCUCUGUGGCUCUUCCAGUUGACUUUACCAAGGAGGUCUGAGACAAUCCUAAUAAACACACUGCUUCAUACUGUUAGUUCACUGGCAAUAUGCCUCCUAACAUCAAUUUUUUAAGUGCAUGAAAAAACAUAUUCAGCUUGGCCUUAAUCAGUGUUUUCUGAAGACAUAAAAUUACAGGCAGAAACUGCAAGACUGACUUGUCAGGGUCUAGAGAAGUUCAUGAAGGACAAGAUUUUAUUGUGUUUAGUAGCUAGGUCUUAGUUCAGGACUGAGUUUGCUGAGUCAAAUGAUUCAUUGUGGUCAUGUUUCUUGUAGUCACAUGCCAUAUGCAUCAGCAAGUCUCUGUUGCUCAAGUUUAGGCUUGAGAACAUGUUUGCAUACCGGGUUACCAUCAUAGACUCUAGUCCUGGAUUUUAGUUUCUAGCCAAAGGCCUAGACAACAAUAGACCAUGAGCAAAACUGGUAGUAUUUACAAACAAAUCAAUGUUUAUUUGUUUUCUAAAUCAAAAGUGUCUCCCUAAUCAGUGACUUUCUUUCCUUCUCCCUGACUACUGAGGCCUCAAAAGGCAAUGUCAGCUGUGCAAUAACAUUGCAGCAAAGCUGUCUGCAUCAGUAAUGAGCUGCACUUCAUGAAUUUUUAAUAUAUGGAUUUUAAUUUCACAUUUAAAGGCUAUUGAAAAAAAACCCAACAAUAUUACAGCUAUAGAGGUGAGUUUGAAGGCUCAGUGCCCCAAAACUGAGCAAUUAGUUAAAUUUGUAUGUAUUCAAAUUAUUGUUCUUGGUGAUUGCUUUUCAUUUCUCUAGAUGAAGAAAUUUUUUACUAAGCUUCCACCUGGCUUCAACUUGCCCACACUCAAUACUUCAUGCAUAGAGAAAUGCACAAAGAGAAGAUUUUUUCUUUGUGUAGAAUUACACACAAGCACACAAAGUAGCUAAAAUUUGACUCCUUAACAUACCUAUUUAAUUCUCUUGAAUUUGUCAGGUUGGCUACAUUCAAGCUAAACAAAAACUAAGUAUCGCAAACAAAUCCCUUUUCCCCACAGCUUCUGUUGUAAACGAAUUUACUAUAUUGCAAGCAAUAACUUCUGCUAGGAGUUUUCAUUGCUUUCCCUUCAAUGUGCUGUUCUCUCCAGCUGAUUAGAUUUCAUGUGAACCAAUGUUAAAAUCUGUUUGAAUAUUAAGUUCAGAAAGGCUUUUCACAGCACACAGUGUAAACCUUAAUUAAAAGACUUUAAGCUCUUUCCUCAUAUGGUUUAUGAUAUGCAUGAAAAACACAGGGUUAUAAUCUGAUUAACUCGUGUAGUUUACAUGGAAAUAGCAUUUUCCAAAACUGAUUAAUCUCUGCACAAAGGCAUAGUCACCUGAUAGGCGCUACACUUAAGGCUACUGAUUGCACCUGUCAAGAGAAGGAGCUUGGAGGAUAGGAGGAGUCCACUAUUUUCAAACAAAGAAUGAUGAUUCACAGAUGUAGCUUAGAACAAGUCCCACGUUGUAGUUAAUGCUGCCCCCAGGCAACUCAUGCAGCCAGAAUUUAAAUGACACACAAUCCAUGUACAGCCUGACCUUGCCAGCUUUCUGGGGGUAAUCCUAAAGUAAGGAUUAACUGUUCUUGAACAAUUUUUCCAACAUAUUAAACAGAGCUUCUACAACAGCAUGCAUGUCACCUUCUUCCACCUAGUUUUAUUGGACACGUGUACUCAUUCCUCCAUGCCUCUUAAUAUGCUGAGAAGUGCAUGGAGUGAAAGACACUAUUCAACAUGGAACUUUAUUUCCAUAGGUUUUGAUCUUCAACCUAAAUUCAUCUACUUUAUCUAUUGAAGAGACUGCUUAACAGUAGAGAGAGUCAACUGGGCAUGGCUUAUUUUCCAUGUGAACCACCACACUCAAAAUCUGACUGCCAUUCUUGCGACCAUGCACUAAUUCCAGGAGUAAGGCAUGGUGAAGCCUUCUCUUAAAGCCCAAGAAAGAGCUGCAUAAUCAUCUGAAGUGAGACAGUUCUAUUGUUCUAAUGGUGAUAGAAAGCUUUCCAAUCACAAAGAGAGAAAAGCUGAAGAGUACCUAUUUAAAAAUUAGUAAAAGUUAUGCUUUUGUAUGAAGAGGAUUUAAUAAAUGACACCUAAAGUCAAACACAUCUAAGUUAACAGAAUAAGAGAUUACUCCAGCAUGGAGAGGUUAGUCUAGUUGCCAAGUUUAGGUUGUAUUCUUACUUGCAGGUAGGAAUAAGAGAAGAAGGAUCUGUAUGGGACUCAGACUGUACGGGACUGUUCUUUAAUCUGCGUCUUCUCAGACUCCUCCCACACACAUCUUCCCACUUGAAAGGAUCAAUAUACUCAAGUGCUACCAAGACAUUUGCCUUCAUGACAAUUUAUGCAGGAAACCAGUAAGUUGAUGCUUGUUCAUGAACAUCUCAAAAGAACUUUCAGGUUCAGUGCCAGUAUCUACUGAGGUGUGUCUACAUCCUCUAAUGGUGAAGUGAGGUGGGAAAGUUGGGCCCCAGUACCAGCACUUAAAAUAAAUCUGAAACAGUUAAAACAGAAUUAAGAGUUAAGUAAAUCUUCUAUCAGAUAUUUUCAGUAUCUUUUCAGUGUAUCUGCUACAGAUUUUGUCUAGAAUUCUGGAAGUUCAUUUAAAGUAAAUUUAUUUUUAAUUCAAGACUCCAAAUUUUUGCUUCAGUAGCUGCAAUUCCAAGAACAAAUACAGAAAGAAUCAUGCAUCAUCACAGCUUACUUAUGAACAUGAAAGAAAAUAUUUUAAAAUUAAAUUUCCAAAUGUUUGCACUACUUAUAUACAACAGAACUUCACUAGAUGGCAAUUAAUCUUAAAUUAAUCUUGCUUCUAAUUUUAUAUCCUUAGACAAAAGCUACUUAAACACUAACUUUCAGAAGGAGGUAGACAUUUAAGUAAUGUAGGGGCUUUCAGUAAUUAGAGACUUCCAAAUGAGAGUACUUAGAUGGUCAAUUAUUGUAUUGGUAGGUCAAGGUUUAAAUUAUGCAACUAAGACAACACUCAAGCAUGAUUGAGGAGCUGCAGACAAAAAUUAUAGGAGAUUUUAAGAAAGACAGCUUCAAAUGUAAAGCUGAAAACAGCAGAACACAUAUCCUCAGGCAAAAUCCUGCACCAGCAUUGAAGAAAGGCCAUGAAUCACUCUCUCAUCACUGAUGCUGGAAAAUAUCCUUGUCAGCUGUGUUCUCAGAAUGAUCUGGUUUAUUUAUUUAUUUAUUUAUAGGCAUUUCUCCACAUCACUGCAAUAGAGUUGAAAGUCUGCUGCCAUUAACCCUAUAUACAUUGCAGAAGAUUUUGACCUCUUGAUUUUAAAUAAGUUGACUGAGAUUCCUGAUUGUGUAAGAGUUUACAGUGACUUCCACAAUAUACUGUGUUAAACAUUCCUCUUCCUUCAUCUGACCUCCACAGCUCCAUCCUGGUUUUGACAUCACUGCCACUGCCUUCACUGCAUGGGUGUCAAUACAUAAAUGACAGUGUUACUCCCCAUGAGGGAAUGGGCCCCUGACCCACACAGUAAUGUAGAUAUCACUAGAACUCUUAUAACAAAAUUAAUGAGCUAUAAGCAUUUAUUCUGUUAUUUCAAUGGUUUUCUUAGGUAAUUGCUUAUACAGAGCGGUCAAAAAACCCAAAAAAUAUUAAAAGAUUUUGAUGAAUUCCGAAAUACCCGCACCAAAAUCACUUUACAAGAUUCAAGCUAUCAAGUAUUACUCAAUACUUGCAUCCACAUGGUUACUCUUUCACUUAGUAAACUGAACUUGUAAAACACUCUAACUAGUGUUCAGAUACUUUUUUCAUUCUCCUUGCCAAUAUACUCUUCUUCAUGAGACAAAGUGUCACUAAAGUACAGGGGUAGUUUAAUUAAUGCUGUUUUAAAAGAGAAGGAAAUCAAAGCAAGAGAACAUGAGCGCAGAAAGGGCUGGCUCAAGGUCAGGCAAUAAAAGUAAGAAUCAGUUUUACUAGUUUACAUGCAUUUUGUCAUAGGCCAAGAUGGAAAGAGGGAGAUUCUGAAUAAAGGUAUUUAAUGAUAGAAAAAUUUGAAGUCUGCACUGCAGCCAUUUAAUUCAAAUGCCUCAUUCCUUUCACUAUCACUCAUCAAGCUAUCAUCUUCCCAACAAUACAAAAUAUUUUUUAUAGUGGAGAAAAAUUCUCCAUUUUAGGAGAAGAUGACUGGUGAGAGCCUCUCAAAAAUUUUUCUUUGCUAAAAUAGUCUAAAGAGUACUUUUCCCCCCACAAUGUUUAACAAAACUACCCAUUCUUUUCUUUAAACUUGACAUAUUUUUACGUCUAAAGACCAUACACUUUGCUUUAGACUUGGGAGCAAUUUCCUAAAUAUCAGAUUCCUUGGUUUUAGCAAUUUUAGAAUGAAAGAAUGUUUGUUCUCUCAUGCUGAGUCCAUUACCUUAAAUUUUAAGCUCUUGUCAAUCUAAACAUGACUAGAAACUUUGGUUUGAAGACAAAAGCAAUAGAUUACAUUUAAUGCAAAGCACUGGCCAUUGGUUUCUUCAAGGAGCAAAUUGUAGCUGGAACAAUGGGGGAGUUUGGGGCUGUAGAUUCUUGCAUUACAACAUCUGUAAUGAAGCCCAUGUACUAAAUUGUAUCCUAUCUCUGCUUCUGUGAAACUCUACUCCUGUGGCCAGCACACUGGCAUUCAGAGAAGGAUACUUCCACCCUCGGAGCCCUAAUGACCAAUCCCUCUCUUCAUUCUCCAAGUCUCAUUUUACAAGUGUGCAUGUAUGUCCAACAAAGUACCAAAUCUAGAUUGACAGCUAAAAGCAUUGUAUUUAGCAUAUAUGGCAUGUAAUUAGAAAUCUGAGUGUUUCCAAAGGGAAAAAGUUUUUGAUUCUGAUCUUAGAGUAUUCUUUCACUGCAUUAGCUGGUAUUUUUUUUCCUAAUUGAAGUUGAUUUAAGUGCGAGCAAAGUCAGACCCAAGAGCAACAGGACAAACUUCUCAUCUGAGGUAGUUUGUAAUAUAAUUUUGUCUUUGCAAACUGUUGAUGGCUCAUCCUCAUCCCAUUUUAACCUACAACCAUCAGCUCCCUUAAUGGAAGUGUCUAUAAAGAUCUUCUCUAAAAUAUGCUUUUCCAGCACACUUAAUGUCUUUUAAUGUCUUUCCAAUUAAAUCCAGAUGUGAAAAGCUUAAGGAACAGUUCUCAGGACUGAAAAAGAUGACAUAAAUCUUGCAGCUGACAGAGAUCCCACUGAGCUCAGUUGGGGAAAUUCACAGAGGACUUCUUGUGGGCCAGAAAAGCUGCUGGGUAUAAAGACAGAUGUGUAUACUCCUAUUAAAAAAAUUUAAAUAAAAACUGACUCCUACAAUGAGGUAUCCACAAUUAUCAGGGACAUUACUAACUCAAUCCCUCAAUGUGCUGAGCACAUCCUGUGCGGUACAAAUUUCCCUCAUCUUUUCGGGAAGUUUAUCAGAGUUGCAGGGGGUCACAUCUGUUUGGGAAAGAGCCCCUCACCUUUCAGGAUUGCACCUCUUAAACCACUCUAGGGGCUGAUACUGGAAAACACUGUCUGUCUUGCUCUCUUACUGCUAUCAACAGGGAGGUAACAUACUCUGCAAAACAAUCCUGAAUUUCGGUCCACUCUCCUUUAUCUCUUCCAUAAUCAAGUUACCAUAGUAAAUUGUGGUUUUAUUACAGAAGACUCCCCAAAUGUGAUAUUAAUUAAAAAUUCUGACCAGUAUGAUGGGAAACUGGGCAUUCUUAGUAGCUGACUACCACUGCUGUGCAAGUGUUGUUUGUGCAGCUGUCAAUUUGGGGUUUGUUUUGCUGUAAUCACUUGCACACCCUCAGGAUUUUUUUAUUUUAUUUUAUUUUAACAACAGUACAUCAUCUUAUUUUCCAAACACAAACUGUAAAUGUAAGCUCACAUCAAGCCACAUCUUUCAGAGGAACAGGAAAUACUAACACACACAGUUUGUAUUAAAGAAUGUCUCUAGAAAACUGCCCAAUGCUAACAGCUUGCAUAAUUUCCUACCUUUCUGCUACUUAGUUACUUUUGAAAUUAGAAAAUUAUCCAGACAGAUCAAUGAUUUUUAAAGAGAUACAUCCUCGUGAAACAUCUGAAAAGAGAAAGAAUGUUCCAGGAUAGAAAAAAAAAAAACAUUUAUAACUGAAGUUUAAAUUUGGGUCCAUGUUCAUUAGUGAUGAGAACUUCAGUUAUGACAUUUUGGAUAGCAUUACUUAACUUCUUUGCAUUUUUCUAAUGUCCAUAUAAAGGUUUUAGCAUGAUUUGGUGUCAUGAGUGUGUGUACAGAAAUAUGAAACUACCUGAAUUAAAGGACAAUCUUGCAUCCUCAAGUACAAAAAGUGAUCCAAUAUUGGGAUCUGAACAGUAGUGCAAACCUAACGCUGAAACCAGCAGGCUCCUAAACACACACACACACAUGCAAACUCUCUUGAAGAGAAAAUUACAGCCUGCUUUACUUUUCACAAUGGCCAGCACUUUUCAGACUAUCACUCCUUCAGGGUUGAAGGCUGGAUCUCACUCCCACCAAAAUCAUUGCUUCAUGACCAUCACCCAGCAGUCACGAGGAAUGCCCUUCCCUUGGAAUGAGCUGCUGCUGCCAUGAGGAUCCCACUCUUGGCUAGCUCAGGGAAUGAGCUCAAAUCUUUUGCACUUUGCUGCCAGGGACCACCAGGCCAGCUCUGAUUUAUAGCUUUUUCUUUACAGUUUUAUGAUACAAGAAUGUUCACUUGUAAUUACAACAGCAUUUUGUUGGCUCCCUGCCUUCACUUGGGUAUGUGCAACACCAUAUCCUUCAUUCUAGCCUUUUUUUAUGUCAGGACCCCAAAUUUGAGAAGAAGUACAUCAGUAUUACAAGGAUGCUGCAGAUCUUGCUGCUCCUUAAAAAGGAGACUUGUACAUAUUUUUUCAGGGAGACAUGUAAGCAGUUGGAUCUGACAUUCAACUAGGAGUCUAGUGGAGAGCUGGUCAAAAUUCUUCCUCAGAAAAAUACUAACCUAAGAAAAAACUUUGUAUGGGAAUGUAUGAUUUCUGAGAAAAAGUUUUUUAGGUCCAAGAUAGAUUCUUCAGUCAAAACAUCACAGACAAGUGCAAAAUAUAACCACUGCACUAAUGACUGUUUGGUUGCCACAUUCAUGUACUUGUUGAUUUGUCUCUAUGAGAAAAGUUCAACAGGUCUCUAGUUUAUUUAAAAGUGAACGGAAAUACUUGUACUCUUGAUGUGUUUUGUGGGAUAAAAAAAUCUGUUUCCUUCAAAACAAGGUGACCCUGCCAUUAAGCUGCUGCAUCACCUUGAAAAAACACUUUAGCUCAAUAUUUUUCAGACAUACUCUUAGCUUCUGACUUUGAGAUAAUCAAGCUGUACAUUUCCAUCACUUGUGGUUUAAACUUGAUUUUGUCAUUUUCAGUCGAGGCAUAACCUCCUUCAGAGAAAAUUCCAGGUAUUUUAGAUACCAUUUAAUAGUUAACUGUCAAGCAAUUUCUAAGUCUUUUAAACAAAGAAUACUUCUGUGCUAGCUUAAUUUAUAGAGCCAUAUAUGUCCCAUUUUAAGUGGAUGUGAUUAAGAAGAAACACUAAGCUUAGCUUAUUCUACUAAAUGAGAAAAGUUUAAAGCCAAUAAAAUGUAUCUAGGAUUUUAGCUGGGAGAUGAAAUAAAAGGCACAUUUGUUCCUGGUCACUGAAUUUUUAACCUGGGUCUGUUGCUCCUGCUGUUAAGCUCCUAUACAUUCCUUACUAGCCUGUAGUGUCCAGCAUUCCCAGCUCUCAGUGCUUGGAAUUAGAGGUGAACUGCAAAAUAAAACCAGUUUGUUUUUUUUUUUUUUUUGAGAGCUAGUGUAUGGAAAGCAUCAAAUAUUCUGACAGAAGGAGGCAAGUGAAAAGGCUAAUUUUUUAAAAGAGGUCUUCUACAGAUUCUUAAAAAUUUAGAUUACAUGUAUAAAAAUUCCAACCUACCAUUUAGGUCUGAGAAUUCUGGCAGUAUCUGAAAAAUGGGAAGAUGCUGCUGAAUCUGGUGGAUAAAUGAAAGCUGUACACUCUAGCUCCUUAGUAAAGAAAAGGAGAAGCUGAGUCUUAUGCUGUGACCCAGGUCUCUAUCUCACGUAUGAGAAUACUUUCCAAGUGCCCCAAAGUUUGCCUUUAAUAUACAACAAACAGGAAAGAAAAAACCCUGGGUUUCUAGCACGAAAAACAAAACCUAUACUGUUUCUGUCCCUCCUGUACCUUUUCAAGCUCAUAUUCUUUUUUUUUUUUUAAGUUGAUUAUUUUGACUUGCCUUUUUGCAAUACAGGAGCUCUAAUAUGACUUCAUUGCUUCUCCUUUUAAGUCAAAACCCUGUGAGGGUAUUUGGGUAUUUCCUUAAGGUGAAAUAAACUAAUCUGCCUUCAGUGGCUCAUCACUCUGGUGAUCAAGUUAAAUGACACCAUUGCAGAAAAGCCUCACAAUACAUAUUUUCCCCCUGCCUACUCCAUUGCUGCUUUUUUACACACAAAUUCAAGCAUUUCUUAGCAAAUGUGUAUUGAGGUGAAGGAUUAGUCCUCACUUAAAAUCAGUAGCAGCCACCUUCCUGUGCAUUUUUUGAAGUGGUAGAUGUACUUUUUUAUUGGAUUAUUUUCUAUUUUCUAUUGCUUACAGGUCUCCUUCUUAAAGGAAAGGCCAAAUCUAUCCUCAGAUUCAGCUUCUGUUGCUGUUUGUGAGUUGAUUUAAGUAGGAACUGGCCUUGCUCACUUGGAUUUGCUUUAGUCAUUAUGUCCUACUUUAGUCUGCUCCUGUACAGGUAGAAAGAUAAAAAGAGUAGUAAGUGGCACCUUCAGUCAUCUCCAUGAUUGCUGUCCUUACCUUUCUGGUAAGAAUGGUACAUGUUGAGUACUGUGUACUUCAAAAAAUGCUUCAAGAGAGACAGCAGGAACCAGAUUUCCUCAAGAACUUCUUAAAUUCAGGAACCUCUCCAGCUGGUAGGUCACUAAUGAAGGUUAGACACUCCUUGUCUCUGAUUAACUGAGCUCUGCAUCUACGGACCUGCUUUUACUCCAUUUACAGUUGCAGUCAAAAAUAUAGAUAUAUGUCCAAAAACUUUACUGAACAGCUGGGGUUUAGUCUGGAAGAUCUGCUAACGGCUAUUUUAUCAUAUCAUUCUAGCAUCUAUUAUUAAAAUUCAUUAACCACAGCUGUCAAAAAGAGCUAACUCAAAAUCUUGCUAGUUACAAAAUAACCUGUCAGGAUUAGAUUCAAUAAAAAAUUCAGGUGCUUACAAAUUAGGCGCUGCAUGAGUGAAGUUUUAAACAGCACAUCCCUGGAAUAAAAUCAAAGGUCUAAAGUUAAGUACUCCGUUUUUUUACUCAGCGUAAAGAUCAGAGACAGGUUUCUCUGAAGAAUGAGCUGAGAAAGCUACAUGGUGAGUCUGGAGCUACCUGCAGGCAAUGAGGUGCUCCAAGCCUAGGGGUGAACUCCUGGUCCUCUCUGGAGUUCAUCAGCAAAGCCAGGACCACAGGCAGAAGCCUGGCACCUUGGUCAGCUGGUGGCUGCAAAUGUACAGUCCUCUCCUGAAGACAGCUGGCCCUUCUGCCCUCUGAGAGGCCUGAGCAGAGCUUGCUGCUGUCAUUGAGAGGGUGACCAGCAGAGAAGAGGGUGCAGGUGAGCCCUCCUUUUUGUCCUUUUGUCAAUGGCACAGAUGUGAGCACUAUUGUCCAGAGUAUGAGACAUACAGAUUUCAGAUUUCCUAGCUUUAGGUCAACAACUAUGUAUUCUACCUCCUAGGUGACAAUCUCACCUCCAGGAUCAGUGAUAGGGAAGAUUCAGCUGUUGCAAAAAAAAAGUCAACAUGGAGUCAUACAUGGACCAAAGAAAGGGAGGAGUCUGACUCCAGAGGCUGAUCACAGCAGUUGCUAAGCUGUCCUGAGGAUCACUCCAUGCUCCCUAGAUAAUUUCUGUUCUUUAUCUAAUUGGUACUUUAGCAGUAAGUUCAGAAGUGAUAAAAGCAGGAAUUGCAAUCCAAUACUUCUGCUUUUGGGGGCUUCUUUAAAAGGUAGGACGCAAUAAUAUUCCUUCUCAUCCUUUCUCUGUGCAAUCCUGAGUAUUUUAAGGUUUUGUUAUGUGAAGGCUCUGGCUAUCUGGGAAGGUAGAUAAAUAACUGCACACGCAUUUAGACAAUCUCCUAUGACAUGUAAUUAUUAAUACCUGAAGGCUGUGGGAAGAGUUCAUGUUUCCUGAGUAAGUCUAUGUUACUGUGUAAAGCAUGGAAACCACUAGCAACUAUCCAACCACAGCUAAGAAGAAAAUCCCUCAGGAUGCUGUUUCAUUUAAUAUUGUUCUCUAUAAGGCAUUUUAAUGAAUAUACAGCUCUAUUUUAAUAAAAGAUUCUAUUAAGAUAAAUAAUAAUAAUCCUUCACUAUUCAAGCUCCCUUCAUGCAAAUGAUCCAAUAAGCCUGCACAUGUAUGCAAACCCUUUGAGAGGGUUUCCAGGAUCAGGAUACAAGCAAUUUUACUGUGCCACUACAGAGUACAGUUAAGUUAGUUAAAAAUCAACACACUCAGAAUAAAAGCAAAAGUACUAAUGUAAGUUAAAUGAUAGUAGAAAAUAAACUUUAUGUCCAGUCUCAGUUAGUUCUAAGAAUUUAAUAAUUUCAGCUGUCACAUAAACAAUAAAGUCAGAGCAUGAAGGAAGCACUAGAGUUCUAAGGCUGCCACCAGAAGCAGAGAAAAAGCACUCAUAAUGUUAUGCAUUUAGACAGUAAUAUUCCUCAAGCACAAAUAAGACCUAACUGAAGCCAUGCUUGAGAUAACUGUCAUGCUAUCAAGUUACAGUAAAGAGGAGAUCAGGCUUAUUCUUUCCUUCACAAUGAAAUCAGUAUAAACAAAUCAUAUAAUGUUUGGACACCAAACUCCUGAAACAAAGAAACCUAGAAAAUCUCUUAAAACCACCCACAGACUCCCCAUGCUGGUCUGUGAUUAUACAACUGGAGAAGAUCAUCCAAACUGUGAUGUAAACCAAUGUCAGUCUGCAAAGGAUAGUACUACAGUGGUUCUAACAAAAAAUAAAGCAAGUCCCUGGAAGAGCCAUCAGAAAGGAAUAUUUUCAUAUUUACCAUCCAUUUUUCCUGUAAAUGAAGAAAACUUUUUUAAAGCUUAGAGAAAGAAUUUAACUUAAUCCCUACACUAAGGAUACAAGACCCAGACCCUCUUGUGUGUUUUUAUUCUACUGCAAAACACAUUUAGCUAAACACAAGUGAGCCUGGGACCAACCAUAAAGGAAAAUACUUCUUAAUGGACUCCACUGCUUUUUGUAUUUCAACCUGCUCCUCUAUGAAAAUCUUUUUGUCCUCCUUAUUUGUUAUUUGGAUACAUUCACCUUCAUUUAUACAAAUACACGUGCAAAACAGCAUCUUUUUUCCCUGCGGACUACUCACCAAGAGAGACGAUCCAGUGCUGAAAACCUUUUCAUUCUAUAAGAAAAAUACAGUGUUUCUGUAGAUUGCAUUUCUACCUCAGAACUGUAGUUUUGGGCCUUGCUUAUCAUCUGGAAGCAAACUGUUCUAGACCUGAAAACAACAUGUGCCUGCCUAGAAGAGAUGUGAAAGGGUCCAGCUCUCUUUCUGCAGACAUGGCCUAGAAAGUGUAAAUCUCUGUGCACCCUUAGGUGAGGCUUCACAAGAUCCAGGACACUCAGUGCUAAGGAGGCUAAAGCAGUGGACUAACCCAGAUGCCCUGAAGGUGGGGUCUAUGACAUAUCCAUUUUAUGCCCUGUUUCUACUCAAUGUAGAUUCCACAAGGCUAAAAAUGUUUUACUGAAAUAAGGAGAUAAUGAAACAGUGCAAGCCCAUUUUCAAAUAUUUUGGCUUUCUUUCUAGCUAUGCCAUAGAGGAAUUAAUAUUCAAAUGUAUUUAGUAAAGAAACUCACUUCAUUAGAAUCAGCCACCCCUGCAAAUUGGUUGAUAGUUUAUAUUUCCCUAACAUUAAUUUCAUUCUUGUUUCUAAGCCACAGUUGACUGAACUGUAACUUGGUAUCAACAAUGGGCAUUAAUCAUACAAAAGAAAACAAAAGAAGCAGUAAUGAACUGACAACGUUUGUUAGUCUUCUCCAGUGAGGGUGCAACAAUUAGCAAUACAGUGAAUAUCAAUCAUUCAAAUGCUGAAAAAAAAAGUCUGCAUAAAGAGAAGAAAUGAAAAAUGGUAGCUGACAAAACCUCAACAAUCUUGGAGAAAAAAAUACCUAAAUUAUUAUACUUAACAGUCUGUGAAAGAACACUUCAUUAAUAAGAUGGCAAAAUAUUUUGUACUAGAAUUAAUAAAUUCUCAUUCUUAAGAAAGUAUGUUCUGCAGAAUUUACACAAAGUUUGUUUUUUCGUAUAGUCAUACAUGCUUCUUAUAUAUUGCUAACGUUCAAUCUUUUUCAAUCUUAUUUACAAUAUCAUGCCUGACUAAAAGCUGUUCUACUGGCAGCAGUGUUACCAGCAGCUGCACAUUGAAUUAUCAACACACUUGUACAUUAAAAGUGUCUGAUAAAACAUAAGAAACAAGAUUCUAUCUAUUCUUCAUGAUCACUAGCUGUCUUGUGUUUUAAUACUGCAUUGAUUCCAUCAAAGUUCAUCACAUGAAGAACUAAAGUCAAAUAAUUUCCUCCAAUAUUUUUACAUGAUUUUCCAUAUGCAAUUUUAACUUACAAUGUUUAUAACUAAAUAUAAAUUAUUAUGAAUUCUAAAGACAAAAUACAAAAGUCAAAAAAUGUAUUUUUUGAGUUACGUGUUCAACCAAAUAUAACUCUCACCCUUCACUGGAGAAGGUACAGGAAGAAGUCUUCAAUAAAUUUCAGAAUCAUUUGCUGAUAUUUUCUAUAUCAGAGUUACAAGUUUACAACAUACACUGAAUAUUUUAAUAAACAACGUGCUUACUUGGCUAAUAAUUUCUAAAAAGAGCAAACCCCUCCUUAUAACAGCUGCAGUGGCCCAGAUGUCACAAAAGCAGAAUGUCUUUGCUAUGCAGGGGAGGGGCAGGCCUUCCCUUUGCACAGGCACGUGGAGGUCCCAGCCAGCACAUGCACAUCCAUGCCUGAUGGGGUAAACAUGGAAUGAAUUUAUUUGCUUCUGUACAUAUGGCAAAGGAACUUCAGACCUGGAAAACAGCAGUUGCAGCCCCAUACAUCAGUUUCCCUGCUCUGCUACAGUGCAACUGCCCAGUUUUUCUGAUUUGGCAAGGGAAUCAAGAUUUAGCCAUGAAAAAUUGACUCAGUAGAGAAUAUGUGCAUGUGCUAAAUAACAACUUACUGAGUAGUCAGAGCUGCUUGAUUCUGAUGAACAGCAAUGUUUGGCAAGCAAAGUUGCUACCCAUGCUGUUUGCUUUAUGCAAAGGUAACAUUUUCCAUUGUGGUCUCUUCAGAACUCUUAAUACACCAUUAGACUAAAAGAGCAGGCAACAAAAGCUCUGAUUUCUCCUGGAAAACAGCAAAGCUUCUUCCUUGUAAAGCAUUGUGGAAGGUCCUACUUGGUACUGCUAGAAACUCUAGCCCUCUGCUUCUGCUGGGAAGCAGUAGCACAGAGCUUCAAGUCUCCUCCUAAGUUUAUUAGUCUCUCUGUCCUUAAUUCCUGCUUUUUACCAGUUCUCUCAGCAGCAAAAUAUCAGUCCUUGGACCCAUUGCUGUGCUGCUUCAACCCAGGUUGCUUUGGCUGACAGGGUGCAUCCUAUCCCUAGGCAUUCAAAGAGCUAAACAUAGUGUCUAAGGGGAAUGGAAGAAGCAGGUUUCUGCCUCUAACAUCCUACAAUUGGAAAAGGGUAAGCAGAGUGUGAGGAGAAGCUUGAGAUCAGACAGAAUCUGCGAUCCUCAUCAUGCAAAUGAAGGACUUAGUCAUGCAGUUUUCUGUUUGGAGAAUGCUACCAGUAAGAAGUAACUUGACAGCUGCGCUCUCAUAAUAGCCAGUUUGGAUUCCUCUCUACUCUUCAGUCAUUGUUUUAUUACUUUGCAUUUAGACACAGAAAAUUCCAUGCACCUGCACUAUGCAGCAUUAAACCCCAUAUCUACUAAAUCUGCCAACAAAGAAGCCAGCUCAGCCGAUGGAAUUAUUUGAUGUGGUCACUCACUACAAAGUGGGUUGAAAGCACAAACCUCUCUCAAGCCCACUCCUGUGGAAACAACUGCAGCUUUUUACUGAUGUGGGCAGGACCCAAGCGAAUAAGGACAAUUUGCAGCACACUUGAAAAAUAAGUUAUUUUUGAAACAAAGAAACAAAGUUUCUUUGUUCAGCUUUAACACGUUUCUUGACUUGUAUUACCCACUUCUCCCUUUCCCAUUCCCAAGGAAGUUUCCAUUAAUCAUCCCUCUAAUGGAAACACUUGUGUCUGAUCACUGAGCAGUGGACACAGGCAUAGUCUGUGGGCAUGCACUGAACAAGAAGCCCAAGGGAAGCCUAGCUGAAAAGUUUGGGAAAGCAAGGAUGCCUUUUUAAAAUAAACUUUGGAGAGGUCAGCGGGACAGCAAGGGGUCAGCACCAGGCAGCCAUUGGGUGGAUGGCACAGGAGAAAGACAACAACACUUGUCAUUAAUUAUAUCUGUUGGAAUGCUACACAUUUUCCCCCCCAAGUGGUAGUACUCCAGACAUCCAAGCACAAUCUCUCCCACGUCCCACUUGACCCCAGGCAGGGCACAUGCCAAGAAGAUUUCAUACACUAGAAGCCAAGAAGUAGCUAAUACAAGUGCAGCUUUAAUAAUUUAAAUUGUCCCUCCACUUCAAAACAUUUUUUUCCUUUAGUUCCAGGCCAUCCUCACGACUGUCUCCUUUACCAGUGAAACACAUAUUCUCUUAGAUCUAAAUAUGGCUAGAUUUCUGUGCCCAGCCUCAAGCUAACAAAACUCUAAACUUUCAUUGGAGAAGAAUAACUACAGGGAAGUGGACUCUGCUCAGAAGAACUCUACUCCUAAAAUCGAUCCUGCAAUGUAAAUGUAAAUGGUAAAUGUACCAUUUACUCAGGUCUAGAGGUAUCUGAUCUACAGAGGUGCUGUCUCCUAUAAACACUUCUUGCAAAAUGUCUGCAAAUGCCAGAAUGAGUCACUACUGCCAGUGCUCUUGCAAAACUUUGAACCAUACCUAUUUAUAAAGCUAAAGUUUCAUAAGCAGCAGUAUCUUUUAUUUUAAUAAAAAACUUAAUAAACUGUUGGUUGCAUAAGAAAUGGCAGUCUGGUAAUUAAUGGAUGGACCCAUCCUCACUUAACCCUGAAUUCACCAAGCACAUAGUCAAAGUUCAUUGUUGUGUGCAGAAAGAGACAGAAAGAGACUAGGUAUCUCUAGAGUAUGAUUAUCCUCUCCUAAAUAAAGAGAUGGGAAGAAUGAGCCUUUGGAAAUGCUUCUCUCUGUACUUCCACUACAGAAAAACUUGUAAAAUUAACCCAACCUGGAAGCAUUGUAGGCAUCUGAAAGGUAUGCAAGAUGCUUUAGUGACUAUAGUUUAUGAGGAAGCUUUGAAUAUUAUGACUCCAGCACAGUAGUUAUAAAUCAUAGUAGUUGUAAAUCACAGCAGUUAUAAAAUAUAGAAUUAAAUUACCUGUCCAUGUGGUGAAAAAAAUUCUGCUUAUUUCUGCAGAGUGGCCUGAGAUGUCUUAAAAUCAGCCUGUGGGGUUCUUUGGUGCAUGUGAAACAAAGAACCAGAAUUGGGGCAGAACUGGGAGAGCUGGAAGACCUUGUACACUGCAGAACCCUGUUUUGUGAUAAUGGAGAGACAACAACUCGAGCAAGAUCAAUCUGGAUAUGCUAAGCCUUGCUAGUGGAUUCUGAUUAUUAAGGGGGGAAGAAAAGUAAUGCCUACACUGGGGCAAGCUUCACUACAGACUAUACUAUUCUGCGGCUUUAAGGACAAAUUCCCCUACAAUUCAAGCUAAGUCCCUACCUUAAAUCCUUAUUUUGGGAUUGCAGUAGAAAAUAAUUUCUAUUUUUGUAGAAAGCAAGGAGACUUUCAGAAAGAGAGAACUCUUCCAUCAGAUAAAAAACCAGACCAUUGUCUGUGUUUUCACUUGAAUGAUGUAUCCAACAGGAAGUAUUUAAACUGUGCUACUGUCUGUCAGUUCAAGCUUCAGGAUAGGCUUUGAACCCACAGCUUUGGAGCCCAAGUUAAGUCACCAAACUUUUUUGAAAGCCCUCCUGUAACUUUUUCUCUGUAGUUUUCAAGCUUUCAUCGAGUCAUAAAACAUGGGAAAAAAUAGGCUCACUCUACCAACAGGAAAAUAUCAUGUAAGGAAAUAUAUGCUGUGGUAAGUAUCCACAGGAAGGUAUUAAUCAUUUUUUUUUACUAAAAGAAGGAAAAAACACCCAAUGCUGAAAAAAGUAGUAGCAAUGUAAAAGUAACUUGUUAGAUGGAUAAAGAACUCCGGAGUGAAUGACAAUGUUUGUCUUUGGAAGUCUGUUCUUCAAUUCCACAAGAAUUGCGGGAUUUAGCAUUGAACAAGAGAGGUAAAAAUAGAGCCUAAGUUACAUAUAAGAAUUUUAAAAGCAACUUAUCCUGAUUUCCCCCCAGAAAACAGUAAAUGAGCUAAAUAAUUAGCCUGGUUGUGCUGAUUUAAACCAUUUGCAAAACUGCACUCCUGAAUUGUGUUUGCAUUAAGCAGAGCUGGAUGCCAGGCUUCCUCUCUAGUUUGAGAAAUUCACCACAGCUAGAAACUGCAGGAGAUAGAGAGACAGACCCAAAACACCAUGUAAGCACAGUGAAUUCACUACUCAAAACCCCAAACAAAAGUGGAAAAGACACCAAAUCAUCAAUUCCAAAAAGAAGCACUCACAGGUAGCAGAACUAGUUCCUCAGAUUUCACCUGAGACCUCACUAUGAAAGAAAGUUGGCACCACAGCCCAGUAUGCUUCCUUCAGUUUAGCUCCAUGUUCUCUCUCACAAUGUGCACUGAUUUUCCUGGCCUGUGCAACUUUAUCUGGUGAUGAAAGUUACAGGUUUGUGAGGUUUCUAUGCUCUUCUGUAAUUAUAUGGAACAUAGGUUCAUUAAUUCAUAAAAGAGAGAAUUUGGGUUGGUCUAGUCCGUCCUCUUAUGGUACUGCCAUCCUUGAGUGUUGACCAAAGCAAUCCUAUCCUGUUAGGGACAUUUAGAAGCUUUCAUGGGUAAGCAUUUUUCUCUUCAGAACAGAAAAAUGUUCUGUUUGUCAUCUGAAUUUGCAUACCUUCAGAUUUUUGCUAGUGUUUCUAAUUACGUCCUUCUAAGGUAGAUUAAAGAGUCCCUUAUGAAAAACAAAAUUUUUUUCUAAGUAUUUUUCCUUAAAGAAUCAAGCCAGCUCAGUUUUUUUUUCCUUUAGACAUUACACCAAAUGAGCUUCCAAGUCUCUCACCAGAAGGCAUUUUCCCCACUUCCUCAACCAAAUACUUUUUUGUGGCUGUUUUCUAAACUUACUUCAGUGUUUCCAUAUCCCUUCGAAAAUGCUGACAUCAGGACUAGAUGAAUUCCUCCAGCAUCAGCUUGGCCAAUGCCAUAUACAAGGGUAUAUCUUGUAACUCAUAAUUACUAUUACUUGUUACAUUCAUGUUCAAGCGUUCAGUGGGAUUUCUUACUCAGUUCCCCAUCCUAUAUGACCCCUGAUCAAUUAAUUAGAAGCCAAAAUUAUCUGUGCUGACAGUACGGCUUUGAUCCCUUGUUCCUUGAUGAAUAAGUGUGCAGUUAGCUGAGUCAGAAUGCACUUUGUGGAGUCAGCAAGGCUUACUGCAUUGUAUUCUACAACUUAUCACCAUUUAACACUCUGCUGGCCCUCAUGCUAUCAGCAAACAUUACCAAGAGAUGAUUUCAUGCUUACUUCCAGACCACUGAUGAACAUACUGCCUAUAAUGUUGAAAUGUUUAUUUCUGUAAAGUGUGGAGAAAGAGCAAUACAGUCUUGUGUAUUAGAAGAGAUUUCUCCAGGCAACUCAGGAAAUGCUGUGUGUAUAAGAAAAUGCCAGGUCACGUUUUUUGUCCUAGUCUCCAGUUUUUGAGUAAUUUAAUGAUAGCAUUGAAAUGAAGACAUUUAUAUAUGGACACUGCAGGCCAAGCUAUUCAAUUUCUGUGUAGAUUAGGUACAUGGACCCUUCAUUUUGAUCCUAGUAUGAUGCCUUAAGUUUUAGCUUUCAUAUUUUUUUGGAUUCUGUGCUGCCUAGGUGUGUAGCUCUGAGCUUCACAUUAAAUGUCAGUAAGUUCUCUUCACAA